UACGAAGGGGGCUAGCGUUGCUCGGAAUCACUGGGCGUAAAGCGCACGUAGGCGGCUUCUUAAGUCAGGGGUGAAAUCCUGGAGCUCAACUCCAGAACUGCCUUUGAUACUGAGGAGCUUGAGUCCGGGAGAGGUGAGUGGAACUGCGAGUGUAGAGGUGAAAUUCGUAGAUAUUCGCAAGAACACCAGUGGCGAAGGCGGCUCACUGGCCCGGUACUGACGCUGAGGUGCGGAAAGCGU
rnacentral:rRNA from 1 species